GAUGAACGCUGGCGGCGUGCCUAACACAUGCAAGUCGAACGAAGCACCUUACCUGAUUCUUCGGAUGAAAGUUUGGUGACUGAGUGGCGGACGGGUGAGUAACGCGUGGGUAACCUGCCCUGUACAGGGGGAUAACAGCUGGAAACGGCUGCUAAUACCGCAUAAGCGCACGAGGAGACAUCUCCUUGUGUGAAAAACUCCGGUGGUACAGGAUGGGCCCGCGUCUGAUUAGCUGGUUGGCAGGGUAACGGCCUACCAAGGCAACGAUCAGUAGCCGGUCAGAGAGGAUGAACGGCCACAUUGGAACGGAGACACGGUCCAAACUCCUACGGGAGGCAGCAGUGGGGAAUAUUGCACAAUGGGGGAAACGCUGAUGCAGCAACGACGCGUGAGUGAAGAAGUAUUUCGGUAUGUAAAGCUCUAUCAGCAGGGAAGAUAAUGACGGUACCUGACUAAGAAGCUCCGGCUAAAUACGUG
rnacentral:rRNA from 1 species